CCUGAAGGAACGUUGAAGACGACGACGUUGAUAGGCCGGGUGUGUAAGCGCAGCGAUGCGUUGAGCUAACCGGUACUAAUGAACCGUGAGACUUAACCUU
rnacentral:rRNA from 1 species